rnacentral:rRNA from 1 species
AGAACGAACGCUGGCGGCAUGCCUAACACAUGCAAGUCGAACGAGACCUUCGGGUCUAGUGGCGCACGGGUGCGUAACGCGUGGGAAUCUGCCCUUAGGUUCGGAAUAACAGUUAGAAAUGACUGCUAAUACCGGAUAAUGACGUAAGUCCAAAGAUUUAUCGCCUAGGGAUGAGCCCGCGUAGGAUUAGCUAGUUGGUGGGUAAAAGCCUACCAAGGCGACGAUCCUUAGCUGGUCUGAGAGGAUGAUCAGCCACACUGGGACUGAGACACGGCCCAGACUCCUACGGGAGCAGCAGUGGGGAAUAUUGGACAAUGGGACGAAAGCCUGAUCCAGCAAUGCCGCGUGAGUGAUGAAGGCCUUAGGUUGUAAAGUCUCGUUUACCCGGGAUGAUAAUGACAGUACCGGAGAAUAAGCUCCGGCUAACGUCCGUAGCCAGCAGCCGACGU